GAAGCAGUUGGCUGUAGCUGAAGGUACAGCUGUUAGUGGUGCAACAAAAUUCUCAGACCUAGGGGCCGAUUCUCUUGACACGGUCGAGAUUGUGAUGGGUCUUGAAGAGGCAUUCAAUAUCAGCGUGGAGGAAGAUAGUGCCCAGACCAUCGCCACUGUGCAGGAUGCUGCUGAUAUGAUCGAGGAGCUUAUGGAGGCGAAGUGAAGUUAGGUCGAUGUGAAUGUUUGUCAUGCUUGUUUAUCUCUUUAUUUUCUUCCUGGGCAAUAUAUGUUAUCUGAAUUCGUGAGAGUCGGGUGUUUUCUGUUUU
rnacentral:misc_RNA from 1 species